UCUUCUCUUCUUCCAUUCAAUUAUAUGUGAUUGCUUUACAGGAGGCAUUGUAUGAAACAGCAACACACCAGGAAGGAAAUAUCCUACAGGGGGAAUAAUGAUUUCCUUAUGUUUGAAAACACAGAACUAUGGAUUGCUUUCGUACUUUAAAGGAGACAUAACAUGAAAAACCCACUUUUUUAUCCAUUAACACGGUGUGUUUCACAUUUUAAGUGUCUAAGUGAGCAAAAAGGCUUAUAUUAUUCACUGGAGUUGCUAUUUAGAUAUUUAAUAAUUAAGUUUUGGGCAUAUUUGUCCACCCGUUCAGUUUUUACAUUAUCUAUUACAUCAGUAAUUAAUUUAGUGAGGAUAACUACCAAAUAUGAUAAUGGCCCUCGGCUAAACACAGAGCCAAUCCGCCAUUUUUUCUUCUCGCUAAGAUUUUUUGUAGUCCUAUUGGAAAAAUGCAGAAUGUCUGGUUAUUUUAGCCACACACAGCUCAAAACUGUUCCUCGUUUUAAGGAAGGGUGGUGUGGCAGUAUUUAAACCCAGGAGCUGAUGACACUACUGCUAAAAAAACACAGAAGAAAAAGUAGUGUGUUUGCGUUUGUUUGUGUGUGUGUGUGUGCGUGCGCGCGCGUGGUUCGUUCGUUCUGUCUCCAGGCUAGUGGCUAAGUACUGAGGGCUUCAUCUAUCUAAAAGGAGUUAUUUCCAUCUGAAUUUGGCAGCACCGGGACACAGCAGCAGAGCGAGUCCACAUCCAGAAGACUGGAGCCAUGUUUCACUGACAGGCUGUCAGACUAACGCCCUGAUGAGCUCAGCUGGGACAAACUGGUCUGAUGUUUAGGAACACAGAACGUUCAGAUGUUGGCGUUUCACGUCACCUACUGAGGAAGGAGACCCACCAGUAAAGAGACGGUCUGGACCAGACCAAAAAUAUGGCGAUGACAUCAUGGAACUGGUCUUUGGAAAAGUUUUCCCUGAACCAACUCCGUUUCUAGAUGAGGUAGAGAAGAUCUGCAUCUCACCAACUCUCUGGUCUCAGUAUUCAGACAACGGAGGUCUCCCACUGUUGUCCAGGACCAGUUUGAAGCCCACAUACUGCCCCUCCCUCAUCAUCAGGAAACAUCAAUCCGUAUCCUGAGGACAACAGAAGACGGCAGGAGGACAGGAACUCUGAGACCUAGACCACCAGCACCGAGACACAAAGCACCUGUGUGCACAACGCCUGUUUUAACUACUAAAGCCUGUUUAUUAUAUUGUUCUACUUAUUUGCUGUGAGGUUAAUACUUAGAAAAUUUGUAUAUUAAUGUAAACAAUAAAAAAAUCACUGAUUGUAUGCUUUCUUUUAGAUGUAAUGGUCCAAACUCAGCCUUGUAGACAUUUAUUGCACCCUGUAGGUAAAUACACAGAACAGGCUCAGGUCCAGGAUGACCCAGCAUGCUCUUCUUCCAUUCUGGCUGUUAGGGAUUGUAUCAAUAACUCAAUGCCUACUGAUGUUUUCACCUAACGGUAUUUAUUUAGAAUGCAGGUAAGAUUUAACUAUAUUUGUUAGCAAAGCAGACUGAUCUUGGGAAUUUCACUGCAGCACUGAUGUCCACCUCUCUGUACACAUUAGAGAGAAUUACCACUUUACAGCUAAACACAUUUAAUAAAGAUAUAGGCUACGCAUUGCAGACAAUAAAAACAAAGUUGUAAGCAUUAGAAUUAUAAUGAUGACAUUAAAGAACACUUGGAGGAAUGUUCUUUAUUUUUGACUAGAAUCUCAAAUCUUUAAAUUAAAAUGUAACUGCUUUUUAUCCAUUUUCAGCCAUUAAGACACCCAAUAUAAAAUAAGACUACUUAUAAAAUUAUUUAUAAUUAUAUGUAUGUAUAUAGAUAGAGAUCUUAAUAAAAUAUAUUCUUUGAA